rnacentral:lncRNA from 1 species
UCUCUCUCUCUCUCUCUCUCUCUCUCUCUAGCGCGCAGUCGUAUCUAAUAUGUUAUCUUCAGAGCAGAAAUGCCAACAAUUUUCAGGGAAACAUAAGACCAAGUCCACUUUUUCUGUUUGUUUUGUAAUAGCAUUAAGUUUUCAGCCUUCAUUUCCAUUUUUGAACUUUCUUCUCUUAGGUCCAUUGGAAUGUCCUUCACGAUAGACUCUGGGGUUGUCUUGCACUAACAUUAGAAGAUUUUAUUGGUAAAUGUGGAUGAUGCAGGAACUUAUGGGAAAACCUUUUGUGCUACCUCUUAGUUGAAAAAUAUUUUCCAAAUUCUCUUUCAGAUGAAAGUUUUUUUUUUUUUUGGGUGAGUCAGUGGGGAGAGGGCCCCUACCCUUGUAGGAAUGGAGCCUAGGACGUAGCGCUGCAAAUCAUCAAGCGCGAACCAAUUAAGCCCGGGCUCUUUCCAGAUGAAAGAGUUGAGCCAUUUCCACUAUUUCUUGGGCUUUAAUGUAGCAUUGUUGUGUUAUCUUCACAUAUGAAUGCACCUGAUCUAAUCGUUGUGGUCUCCCCUAGUAGCCAUUUAGUGGACACUUCACCCAGGCCAAAUUUGGAGCAAUCUUAAGAGUGUCCUUAAAUUAGUGUGCCUUCUCAGGAUAAAUGUGAAGUACUAAUAGUAUCAACUUUGGCAUGUUGCUUAUCAUAUUUGCCCGUGACCCAAAUUGAGGGUAUACAGGUUAUUCAUGCGGGGUCAAUUUUUCGCUUAACAUCGUGCAAUGCUAUGCCUCGGUCCACACCAACUAAGGCUAGGCCAACCUUGCCACACACCAUGCACUCGAGAGAGUUAGAGCAAUUUCACGCAUUCACAAGGGUCACACAAAGCAACAAUAGCCAUAGGGCCUCAGCCUAGUGUCUUCACUAUACAAUUACCAAGUGUAUAUAGCCAUGGUCCUCCUAGUCUGGCCCGGGCAAGGGAUAUUUAUAGCCCCCAAGCUCACUCACAUUUACAAUGGCACACUGCUAUAACCAUCAUGCACCACCAUGACUGCUGCGUGGAGGCCACCUAUCCUCCAUGUACCCUGGGUCAGCCACCUAGCCGCCCACCACAUGGGCUGCACUUGCACCCAUUGGCUGCCCAUGCACACACGUUUCGUGCUAGCAUAGCGUAAUUGCCCACCAUUCAUGGUGGCCAUAUGUCAACCUUCACCGCUUCUUCAGGGGGACGGUUACACAAUUCCAAGUCAUUUACACGUGGUGGCCAGCCACACCCUAGGGUCUGGUCCUGAGCAGUUACACCUUGAGGCCUCCAACCUCAGCCACGUCCUGGGGUGAGGCUAUCCUUGCACCAACACCCCACCAUGCACCAUAACCAUCGUGUGCAGGCUCCUUUUCCCUAAGCCCCAUGUUGGUGCCGACAACCUGGUGCACGAUAUACGUGCAACCUGGUGCUUGCAGUAAAAGGCGGCCUGUGGCGGAUGGCGCAUGCAGCCUUUUGAGCAAAAUGCUGGAUAGUUGGCUAGUGCGGUGAAGGCAACCUGGUGCAAGUAGACUUGUGCGGGUGAUGUUGCUGGGUAGUGUGGCAGGUGCAUGGAGCAGGGUGGCUAUGGCAGCGUGAUGGCUAAGGGGUCAGGCAAGCCCUUAGCACAUCAGGCAAUACGCAUGCAUCUUGGUCAAGGGGGAGACCCACAAACCUCUCCUGGUACAUCGGUCCGCUAGCCUGAGGCCUUUCUUGGGCCUUCUGUUGUUGUAGGCUAUGCUCUGCAGGCUUCACACACCAACCUGGUGCACGCGUCAAAGUUGUGCUUGGACGCUAGGUAUGGACACACUUCAAAGUGAAGUGAUUUAAGACUAGACCUACUUGAGAGAAAUGUGGGAGCCUUGGGUCACCGGUGGGCAACAACAAGGUGCACAGGUGCAGGAGCCUGUGCACUACAACAUGGCAACAGAGAGCAAACCGUGGGCUUUAGAGGCGCUUGUGAGCUGGCAUGCGUCAGCUUCAAAUUCAAAUGAACCUUCACUGAGUCAAGGUGGGACAUGGUGUAACGGCUAGCACGUGGAGGGCAACAGUUAUGGUGCAUGGUGGGGUGCUGGCACAAGGAUGGGCCUCACCCUAGGAUGUGGCUGAGGUUGGAGUCCUCAAGGUGUAACCGCUCAGGAUAUGGGCAGCCUGGCUGCCCACGACUAGGCCCUGGGGUGUGGCUGGCCACCACAUGUAAAUGAAUUUGAAUUGUGUAAACCGCUUCCCUGAGGAAGUGGGUAAGGUGGGCAUAAUGGCCACCUACAAAAAGACUGUAGAUAUUUCAAUGAAUAGUCCUGAGAUUGAGUCAUUCCGCUUUCUAUUAUAGUAGUUUAUUCGUCCUCUCUGUAUCUCUGAAGUAAAAAACAUGAGAAGUAAAUUUUAAGUCGCGUGGAAACAAAAUGUAAAUAGAUUAAGAAGAAAGAUAUCAUAAAACUUUAAUAGAUUACUUUUCCAAAAUAAAAGAAAGAAAAAAAAAACAUAGGCAAUGUAGUAAUGAUGUGUAAUUUAGAGAGCAUAAUAUGAACAGUGUAAAUCCGCCAGCUUGCCCAAAUGUGCAUGCCAAUCUCAAAUUUGAAUUGCCAGGCACUUUAAUUCUGGCAUACUAAAGAGAGAAUGUAUGCAACUUUUGUUAGUUACAAGAAAUGUAGAAAGCAUUGGAUAUUCAAGUUACAAAAAAUAUCCUAUUUUAUUAUCAAAACUAAAAAUUUAAUCCUCAAUAUUUUAUAUUUUACAUUGUGUAUUGUAUUUUAAUUGUGUUUUCUUUUAUAUACAUAAGAUUAAGCUCAAAUUUGUGGAGUUGAUACUUCAUGCCAUCUCACAUUUGAAAAAACUACCCAGAAAGUUUUUCAAAACUGAAUGUAAAUAACAAAGCAUUCACAAGUGAUCAAGGAAAAAUGAUGUUCUUUGACAAGUUCGUUAUGGUGAGAAGUAUGGAUAUUCAAAAUUUGAGCUUAAUCAGAUACAUAGGAAAAUAAUAAAAUUAAAAUUUAAGAGUGAGAUAGAAAUGUGAAAUAUAAAAGGAAAAAGUUUAUAUAGAGAGCCGAGGCUCAAAACAAUCAAAUUAGAGCCCAUCUAAAAAAAUUCACUAGAAAAUGAUGUUUUGAUAUAUGGACAUGAGACAAAAAUGAAUUUCAAGUUUUGUAAAUAGUGCAUCUUGUAAUGCAUUUCUGGACCAUCAAUUUUCAAAAUUUUCAAGUUUUCAUAGAUCUACUUGAUGUAUGCUAUUUUUUAAGUUUCAAUUUUAUAAUUAAAAAUGAAAAUAUAUUUUUAAGUCUAUCACAAAGAUUUCAGGACUGAAACCACAUUUCUUGACACUAUUUGAAGGUCAGCUUUACUUUGAUUGUUUAGAACCUCGGCUCUAUACCAACUGCACCCAAUAUAAAAUAUACAGGUCUACUUUUUAUUUCAAAACAUAGAAAAGGAUUUUUCUGUUAAUUUCCCAAUUAAAUUUACUGAUUCAUAGGAAGAGUUUCUUUGUUUGUUGUUGCAUUACCCUAUCCCUAUCCAAAAUAUCCAUUGCUUCUUGAUCUAAUAGUAUCUUACUAUUGCUGAUUGUGGCUUAGCCUUUCCAUGCAAUUGCAAAGGUGUCACAUGAUCUCUAUGUUUGAAGCAGUAAAGGGGUUUUAAGUUAUGCAGGUUAAAUGGGGAUCUUGAAGCACUUCAUCAAAGUAAAACCUGACACUGGGUCCUCCUCUAAAGGACAAAAAUUUUCUUGCUUUAGGUAAGAGUCAAACGUAUGCUUGAGAUGAUGGCUAGGGUGGUGGUACUUGGCUAUACAUAGGAGUAAAGGAAUUGAGUAUGAGGAGACAUUAGCCUUAAGAUCAUCACAUUAAGGACAGAGUACAUAAUGGCCGGAGCGGUGGUACUUGGCUAUACAUAGGAGUGAAGGAAAUGAUUAUGAGGAGACAUUAGCCCUAAGACCAUGGCAUUGAGGACAGAGUCAGCUGUUACAGCUAGCAAGCAAUGGUUAUUUAACCACAUGGAUUUGAAGAACUCAUUUUCUUUGGAGGUGAUUUACAUGAUUGAGCUUCCAAGGAUAAAAUUAGAAGAUAAAUUCUCUAAGUAAUCUUUAAAACUGCACAGAUUCAAGUAGGAGCUUUGAGCACAUUUUCAAAAUUCAGGACACGAUCAUUACGAGUGGUUUUCAAUGAAGUGUUAUGAAUUCACAUUCAUCUGGCUGACAGAUCACGUGUUUGUGAUAUUGUCAGUAUGUGUUAAUGAAUUUUUGUUUGGGUAUAUGAGUCUGUUGGCGGCACUCAUCUGAAACGACAGUCCAAGUUUUAGAUGUAGGAUUUAUGCAAUGUAAUUUAAUUUUUUCGGUAUCAAGAUUAUAUGAUUGCCUUGAUUAUUACAUCCAGCACAAGUUCAUUAGUGACACAUGAAAUGUUAAAUCUUACAUAAAGAAGAGAGUUGUGGCUAAGUCUGGUAAAGCUAACUGACUACUUCGGAGGCUAGGCCUAAUGGAGCUAGCAUAUGAUGGAUUUUUUCUUUUUCUUGAUAUGAUAUCUGAAUAUAACAGAGUUUAGUAGCUUAUCAGGCAAUUUUUUCAGUUAUUGGAAGUCCCUUCUACUUGUUUGUUACAUGACUAUGCACUGUUCUUGCUGUGCAUAUUGGCAG